rnacentral:hammerhead_ribozyme from 2 species
AGCCGAAACGGGACUUUGGUCCUGUCUGCCGGGAAUGGCCGCCCGGCACUGAGGAUGGCAGGCUGCU